UACGUAGGGGGCAAGCGUUGUCCGGAUUUAUUGGGCGUAAAGAGCGUGUAGGCGGCCAUGUAGGUCCGUUGUGAAAACUCGAGGCUCAACCUCGAGACGCCGAUGGAAACCAUAUGGCUAGAGUCCGGAAGAGGAGAGUGGAAUUCCUGGUGUAGCGGUGAAAUGCGUAGAUAUCGGGAGGAACACCUGAGAUGUAGAUGGCUUACUGGACCGUAACUGACGCUGAGGCACGAAAGCGUGGGUAGCAAACAGG
rnacentral:rRNA from 1 species